AUGCAGGCGAGGCGGGAGAUCCGGACGAAGCCGGAGCAGCGGGGGGAGGAGGAUGCGGCGGCGGUGGCGGAGACGCCGCUGAGCGCGCGGUGGAGCCCGGAGGCGGAGAUCGGGAUGCGGGUGGAGGACAUCUGGGACAGCCUGGACCAGCCGCAGCUGAGCCGGAGCGACAAGCUCAACAGCUGCUUCGACGCCAUCCCGGUCUCCUCCUUCCCGCAGACCUUCGGGUCGCAGCUGGUGGACAUCCCCUCCGACGCCACGCUGGCCGAGGCCGUCGACAUCCUCUCCCGGAACCGCAUCAACGGCGCGCCGGUGCGCAACGUGGAGGCGCCCGAGGACGCCAGCUGGAUCGACCGCUACAUCGGCAUCGUGGAGUUCGCCGGGAUCGCCGUCUGGCUGCUGCACCAGUCGGAGACCUCGGCGGCCGCGCUGGGCGCCGACGAGGUGGCCGCCAAGCUCGGCACGGUGACCCUCGACCCGGAGCUGAAGCCGGCGGCGCCGGCGUCGGAGGCGGAGGGCGCGGUGGCGGAGGCGUUCGGGUCGCUGCCGUCGUCGGAGCUGUUCCGGAAGACCAAGGUGAAGGACAUCUCCGGGUCGUUCCGGUGGGCGCCGUUCCUGGCGCUGCAGAGCUCGGACACGUUCCUCACCAUGCUGCUGCUGCUGUCCAAGUACCGGAUGAAGAGCCUCCCCGUGGUGGACAUCGGCGAGGGCACCAUCAGCAACAUGGUGACGCAGGCGGCGGUGGUGCACAUGCUGGCCGAGUGCGUGGGGCUGAGCUGGUUCGAGGACUGGGGCACCAAGACGCUGGCCGAGCUGGGCCUCCCCCUCAUGAAGACCAGCCGGCUCGUCAAGGUCUGCGAGGACGACCCGGCGCUCAAGGCGUUCCGGCAGAUGAGGCGGCGCGGCGUCGGCGGCAUCCCGGUGGUGGACGGCGCCGGCAAGCCCGUGGGCAGCAUCAUGAUCAAGGACGUCAAGCACCUCCUCACGGCCUCCGAGUCCACCGGACACUACAGGACGCUGACGGCGAGGGAGUUCAUCGCGAGCGCGCGGCAGAGCUCGGGGGAGAAGCAGAUGAGCAUCAUCACGUGCAGGAGGGAGGACAACAUGAAGGAGAUCAUCCUGAAGCUGGACGCGGAGAAGAGGCAGAGGAUCUACGUGGUGGACGGGGAGGGCAACCUGGACGGCCUCAUCACGCUCAGGGACAUCAUCGCCAAGCUCGUCUACGAGCCGCCGGGAUACUUCGGGGACUUCUUCAACGGCGUCAUCCCCAUGCCGCAGAACAGCAGGGUCUGA
rnacentral:rRNA from 1 species